rnacentral:sRNA from 1 species
AAUACCCUAGUCCGGCGGCCUUAUUGUUCGUCUUCCCUCUAGUGGUUG